ACUAGCAAAAAUACCCGUGGAACAACACGUGGUAUAGCAGUACAGGCACUUGUUGACAAAAGUGGUAAACUGCCAGUACGUAUAGCUGCAGAGUAUGAUGCUCCUGUUGGGAAGAAUGCGUGCAAGCUUGUCAAUCAAAUUGGCGUACAAGUACGAAGUAAUUUGUCCAAUUACAACGUAAAAAAUUGGAAAAGUGUUGAUGCUGCUACUAGAGAUGUGGUGAUUCAAAGUAUCGCGGAUCAGUUUGAGCUAGAAGGAGAUUCCAACUUGGUAACGAAGACAAUAAAUACAAAAUGUGGAAGAUUAUUGAGUAGCGGCUCUAACAAGUUGUAUCAGACUUACAAAAAGCUCGUACAAUCUCAUGGUGCUGACUAUGCAAAAAGCCACCCACCAAAGAAUGCCACACUUGAGCAGUGGAUUGGACUUAUUGAAGGGAGAUGGACCAAUAAGGACUGGCUGGAAAAAUCAAGAAUUAACUCUGAA